rnacentral:rRNA from 1 species
UACGGAGGGUGCAAGCGUUAAUCGGAAUUACUGGGCGUAAAGCGCACGUAGGUGGUUUGCUAAGUCAGCUGUGAAAUCCCCGGGCUCAACCUGGGCACUGCAGUUGAAACUGGCAAGCUAGAGUAGGGUAGAGGGGUGUGGAAUUCCAGGUGUAGCGGUGAAAUGCGUAGAUAUCUGGAGGAACACCCGUGGCUAAGGCGGCUCUCUAGUACGGUACUGGACGCUGAGACGCGAAAGCGUGGGGAGCGAACAGG